GGGGUCGCGGGGCGGCUCCGCGGAUCGGUCUGUGGGGCGGGUUGGGUCUGCGUGGUUCCCUGCGUCUCCUCCUGGGGCCCCUCCGGGAGAUGCGGGCAUCUGCCCCCGCCUGGCCCUGCUUUCCACGAGCCGCCCGCAGGGAGGCCGCGAGCAGAGCCACGCGUCUGCGCACAGGCUGCGUUGGGGCCGCCGCUCUGCGCCUGCGGAUCAAAAAAGUUGUUCCCGGACCUCGGCUUUCAAGACAGCUGCAGGAUGUUCCUCGGAAGAGGCCUGUGGGAUGAUAAAAAGUCGACAUUUGAUCUUUGUCCCCAGGCACUGGCCCCUGGGGCGGGUGAGGCUCUUUGGCUUGCUGCUGAGGCGCCUGGGGGCUGCUCCCAGAGAGACCAGUGGAGGAGCAAAGUGAUGGGGAUUGACGCCCAGCCUCUGGUGACACGAUCAAUCGCGCUUCUAGAAUGCAGAAAAGCCCAUGGGUCGGGCUCCAGAGAAAAUACACACAAAGAAGAGAAGUGAAUUUGGAUCUCACCAGGCAGCUUUCGGGCUCCGGCUGCCUGGGCCACGGCCAGUGGGAGCCUGUCCUGGGGGCGUCCUUCCUUGUUGUCCGGGACUCCGGUGUUGAGAUCCUCCGCCCGUCCCCUCUGUCCUGGUGCCUCUGGCAGACGCGGAUUUAAGAAAGUACACGCUUCCGUGGGUGCCUACGUCUACCACCGCUCCCACCGCUCCCACCAGAGCCAUGAGUUCGCUGAUGCCUCGGCUCCACCGCGUCCACAGGCUCGUUUGGGUUUUCCGUGUCGGAGCCCGUGGCUCCUGUCUCCAUAGCGCGGAUCCCCCCUGUGCUGCUCAGAGCCCUGCUGCCACAAUGCCAGUGUGACUGCCAGUCCGGGGGCGGGGGCGGGGGGACCUCGGGCCGACCCUCUGUGGCUUUAGGGUUGCUCCUUCUGGGAAGGGCAGAGCGGUCUGCCCUGGCCUCUGCUCAGGGCCAGCAGGGAGGUGGAGGGGAGCCUGGUUCCACCACCAGCUCUGGGUGUGGUCGUGUCCACCCCACGUCCCCUCGGGACGGGGGCUGAGACGCCGGCGGUCCCGUUGGAGCCAGGUCGCGGCUGUGAAGACGCAGUGGGGCGCCUGGUGAGCCCUUGUGGCUGGGGUGCUGCGUGUGUUCACGUCUAGGACUGCAGAAUGAGCGGCGUUCGCCUGGGCGUCGGCUUCCGCUCCUGCAGCCGCGUGAUGCCCACCCCGAGGCCGCCGGCCUGCACACCCGUGAGACCCUCGGGCUGACGCGGCUACUCCUGCUCCGCCGUGCCGGCAGCCACUGCGGCCACUGGGACGCGUGCCGGUCACUGUCCUCUGCUCUCUGGUCACCACACGCCCCGUCCCCGGUGCUGUGGGUGGCGGACCUGCAUCUGUAGCUCCUCUGAGCUUCUGGUGCCUUCUGCACAUUUCCUUCGUGGAGCUUCCUGCGUGUCCUGGCGACCGGUGGAAAUCGUGUUUGCGCUGAACAAGCCAGAGGUGGUUUCUCGCUACAGCAGGGGGACCCGUUCCACAUCCUGUGACAGGGACGGAGGAGGGGGUGUCCCUGGCCAAUGGAGGGCUCGUGGACGCUGGGCCCACCGUGGACUCAGGAAUUUCUGUUUGUCUUUAGGGUCUUAUUACCUUCCUGGGGCUGCCCUAACGAAGCCACAGACUCAGGGCUCAAACCGCAGGCAUCCCUGUCAGCUUGCAGGCCGCAAGCCCUAAACUGAGGUGUCGCGGGGCCGUGCUGCCUUUGGGGGGGCACCCUGUGCAUCUUCCAGCCUCUGGUGGUGCCAGACAUACUCGCCAUCCCUUGGUUAGUGGAUGCGUCACCCCCUCUCUGCCUCCAGGGGCACACGGCGUUGCUCUCUUGUUGGGAUGGGACUCACCGACUCCGGCUGGUCACCGACUCCCUCUUACUGAUGGUGCCUGCAGUGGCCCUGUUUCCAAGUAAGGCCCCAUGCUGCGAUCCCCAGGGUCAGGACUGAGGCACAUCAUUUCGUGGGAGGGUUCAACCUAGUGCAGGUCCCAGCUGUGCCCUCUUCCAUUUGACAGUAUUGAAAAACCAUUUAUAUUAAAAAAAAUUAGCUUUGAGAGAAACGCACAGAAAUGUGGCUUUUCCCAAGCUCAAUGCCUCCAGCUCCAGCCUAGUGGUGGUGGGUCGCGAGGCCGGGCAUCCCGGGGAUGCUGUACGCGUGCAGAGGCCCCGUGCAUCAUCUGCCCUCCUC